AAAUCCAGUGUUAUUGAAUAGUGUAUUUUUAAAAAUCCAUUAAAAUCUAGGGUUAUUCAAUAUCCAUUAGAUUUUGUGUUAAUUUGGAUUUGAACGUACUUUGGUUCUCAGAUACAAAGAAACACAAUACUACACUUUUGUCAGGGAUUUCUUUUCUUUUUUCUUUCUCUCCCUCUCUUUUCUUUCUCUACUAGUGUUUGAUUUGGAAUUUGAGAGCGUGAUUCCCUUUGUUCCUUCACUUCUCAUGUUUCUGAUUGAAAAUCUCUAGAUUUGGUUUUGUAGUAUCUCGAUCGGAUUUGACUAUCUUCUCUUUGUUUCUUUUACUCAUCCAGUGAGAAGGAAUCGUCUUUCAUGUAUUCUUCUGUGUAAUCGACUGUCUUGUUUGGUUAGAAGCUCAAGGCUCCUAGGUUUAUAGGCAUGAUCUGUAACUUCAUCUCUGUUAGGGCUUAGGGCUUUAGAGUUAUUAACUUUUGAUUCUCAUGUUAUGGCACUGAUAAUCAUUCAAAGGAGGAUCAUCGUCGAGCAAAUCAUUAGAUGAAGGAAGUGCUUCUGGUUCAAGAAAGAACGGUUCAAAGCAUAGUAAGAAUCUGAAAGCAGAGGAAGCUUAUAAGAAUGGUGAAGGAGCAGUUCAAGUUGAGAGUGGGAGGAAAGUGAUGGUUGUUGUGGACACAACUUCACAAUCAGUGAGAAAUUCAUCUAGCCAAAGAUAAUUUUUUUUUUGCUUCUCACUAUUCCUUGCGCUGCAUGUUCAUCUUAAGUUAAGAGCUUUCAUUUCUCAAAGCAUAGGUUUUAUAGUUCACCUGUCUUUGUUUUCCAGUUUAUACUGCCUGAUCAUCUUCUUUGCUAAAAGAUAUCCUAUACUGAUAGAACAGCUUUCAUCUGAAUAAUUUUUAAGUUUCUUGGGAUGUUUGGUACUAAUGUUCACAGACUGAAAUGACAACUGCCGAAAGAGAACUUGAUCAAAAUACAAAUUUUGAUUGGAACCGUAUACAAGAGAGUGGAAAAGAAUUGGUACCAGUUUUUGGACCUGGAUAACCGGACGACUUGUCAAUCUUUGGAACAGUUGCUACUUGGCAGCUACGAUGCAAGUUGUUUUCUCUACCCCUUCAUUUAUUUCAAGAUACUUUUCACAUCAGUGCUUAUAAGAUGGCUUUUGAGAUGGCUCCUGCUGAUCCUGGCUUUGGAUGAUACAUGCUUUAGUUUCUGUUUUUUUUUUUUUUUUCUCUGUUUGAUUUAAUAUGAUCAAAAACAAAGGACUGAAGACGAUGAUGAAACUGCAAAACAACCAGAAAAGACAAGGCAAAGAUGUGAUGAUGUAAAUGGUAGUAAUGAAGAGAAGAAGACUAUGAGUGAUGAUAGAACAAAGGAAGCAGAGUGUUUGCUCCACAAAGAUAGAGAAAAACAUAGAUGCAUUGAAAAGCUUUGCAGUUUAGUUAAGAUGGAAGAAGAUAUUGAUGAAAGAUUGAGGCAGAGAAAGCUUGCAAUAAAGGAGAUAGGAGUAAAGCUGGAGGCCCGUAUGAUCAAGGUGGAGAAGAGUUUGGCCAAGAUUAGAAAAUGGAAAACCAGACCAAAAAUGCAGUUUCUGCCUAGCUAGUUAUGCCAUUUGAUCUGAAACUUUUCAAGAGUAUCCCCUAAGUAAGUCAUGGAUAUUAAAAAUUAAACAAUGUCCCUUACUCGCAGGCAAAUGACAAAACUUUAUGGUGCUAGUAUUAGAAAUAUAUAUCAAAUGUGGGGAAUCAAUA